rnacentral:rRNA from 1 species
CCUACGGGUGGCAGCAGUGAGGAAUAUUGGUCAAUGGGCGAAGGGCUGAACCAGCCAAGUCGCGGGAGGGAGGAAGGUCCGAUGGAUUGUAAACCUCUGUUGUCAGGGAGCAAAGGGCGGCACGUGUGGCGUGUUGCGAGUACCUGAAGAAAAAGAACCGGCUAACUCCGUGCCAGCAGCCGCGGUAAUACGGGGGAUGCGAGCGUUACCCGGAUUAAUUGGGUUUAAAGGGUGCGCAGGCGGACUGUCAAGUCAGCGGUAAAAUUUCGGGGCUCAACCCCGUCUUGCCGUUGAAACUGGCGUUCUUGAGUGGGCGAGAGGUAUGCGGAAUGCGUGGUGUAGCGGU